AUUGAACGCUGGCGGCAUGCCUUACACAUGCAAGUCGAACGGCAGCACGGGUGCUUGCACCUGGUGGCGAGUGGCGAACGGGUGAGUAAUACAUCGGAACAUGUCCUGUAGUGGGGGAUAGCCCGGCGAAAGCCGGAUUAAUACCGCAUACGAUCUACGGAUGAAAGCGGGGGACCUUCGGGCCUCGCGCUAUAGGGUUGGCCGAUGGCUGAUUAGCUAGUUGGUGGGGUAAAGGCCUACCAAGGCGACGAUCAGUAGCUGGUCUGAGAGGACGACCAGCCACGCUGGGACUGAGACACGGCCCAGACUCCUACGGGAGGCAGCAGUGGGGAAUUUUGGACAAUGGGCGAAAGCCUGAUCCAGCAAUGCCGCGUGUGUGAAGAAGGCCUUCGGGUUGUAAAGCACUUUUGUCCGGAAAGAAAUCCUUGGCUCUAAUACAGUCGGGGGAUGACGGUACCGGAAGAAUAAGCACCGGCUAACUACGUG
rnacentral:rRNA from 1 species